UACAGAGGGGGCAAGCGUUGUUCGGAAUUAUUGGGCGUAAAGGGCGCGUAGGCGGCUUUGCAAGUGGCGGGUGAAAUCCCUCGGCUUAACCGAGGAACUGCCUGCCAGACUGUGAGGCUUGAGACCGGGAGAGGUGAGUGGAAUUCCCAGUGUAGCGGUGAAAUGCGUAGAUAUUGGGAGGAACACCAGUGGCGAAGGCGGCUCACUGGACCGGAACUGACGCUGAGGCGCGAAAGCGUGGGGAGCAAACA
rnacentral:rRNA from 1 species